rnacentral:rRNA from 1 species
AGUGAACGCUGGCGGCAGGCCUAAUACAUGCAAGUCGAACGGCAGCACAGUGGAGCUUGCUCCAUGGGUGGCGAGUGGCGGACGGGUGAGGAAUACAUGGGAAUCUGCCCAGUCGUGGGGGAUAACGUAUGGAAACGUACGCUAAUACCGCAUGCGCCCUUCGGGGGAAAGUCGGGGACCGCAAGGCCUGACGCGAUUGGAUGAGCCCAUGUUCGAUUAGCUAGUUGGCGGGGUAACGGCCCACCAAGGCAACGACGGGUAGCCAGCCUGAGAGGGUGACCGGCCACACUGGGACUGAGACACGGCCCAGACUCCUACGGGAGGCAGCAGUGGGGAAUAUUGGACAAUGGGCGAAAGCCUGAUCCAGCAACGCCGCGUGAGGGAUGACGGCCUUCGGGUUGUAAACCUCUUUCAGUAGGGACGAAGCGAAAGUGACGGUACCUACAGAAGAAGGACCGGCCAACUACGUG